rnacentral:misc_RNA from 1 species
UCUCCGUUGGUGAACCAGCGGAGGGAUCAUUGCUGGAAUCUCAGGGCUUCGGCCCUGACCCAGAUACCCUAUGUGAACUUAUACCUCAUAUCGUUGCCUCGGCGCCGAGCCGGGCCUCCCCAGGGAGGUCCCCUCUGUCUCUACCUCACCCGGUACAUGCAGAGGAGCAGGCCCGCCGGCGGCCCACUAAACUCUUUGUUUUUAUAACGUAUCUCUUCUGAGUUUUUAAACAAACAAAUGAAUCAAAACUUUCAACAACGGAUCUCUUGGUUCUGGCAUCGAUGAAGAACGCAGC